CUUGGUAACAGACAACGAAGAUGACUAUUUUUGGACAGAUGAGGAUUCACAACCUUAUCUUUUUGAAGCUGAAUAUAUGGAGGAUGAAGUGCUGCAGAAAGAAGAAGAGGCUGAAACAUUGGAGCAGAGGAAACGUUGCCGGUCAGCUUGACUAAACAGACAACUGUCCAUCGGCAGCGAUGGUGACUGCAGGGCGGGGCUGAAAAGCCAGACGAGACCACGCGAGGGGCGGAUGAGGGAAGAGACGCUCGAGGCAAAGAAACAGUUUAAAAAGAUUCUGAGUGACCAACUGAAAAGACUUGGUGAAUGAACGAAAAGAAGAAAUUCUGUCAUAACGAAAAAGAAAAGAAGACAUUGUUGAAUGAGAAAAAAGAAGAAAUAUUGUGUGAAAAGUCAUUAAAAGAAUCGUCAACUGGAAGUUCGGCUCUGAUUCUUCGGUCAUGAAGAACCCCGCGACACAAACAUGUCACAUUGGCGCCCAACCAAGCGAGGACCGAGGAAAGAUGACGACCACAACCCCUCUGGAGGCGCUGGGAAGAGUGCUGGCGGAGGUGUCGGCAGCCACCCAGCAGCAGA